AAUAUCUUGCUUGGUGGCAUCCUUCUCAGCCUCGGUUUGUGCUAUCAUGUCCCGUGCACUGUCAAGGAUGUGAUACACCUUAUCGCGGGCAUCAUUGGCGUCACGGAGAUACUUUUGUUGCUCUGCAUACGAGUUGAACUCGAGCUCUUGAAGCUUCUGGACUUCUUGUCGAUGAAUCAGAUCGGCUAGCUUAUGCAACUGCCCUGGACUUAAAUCAACUAGGUCACCUGACAUG
rnacentral:lncRNA from 1 species